rnacentral:rRNA from 1 species
GAUCAUUAUCGUGGGGACUUCACCGUCCCUACCGAGAUAGCACCCUCUGUUUUACCGAGCACCUCCUGUUUCCUCGGCGGGUUCGCCCGCCAGUGGGGACCACACAAAACCUACUUGCAGUAUCGGUAGUAAACGUCUCAAACAAAACUAUUAAAACUUUCAACAACGGAUCUCUUGGUUCUGGCAUCGAUGAAGAACGCAGCGAAAUGCGAUAAGUAAUGCGAAUUGCAGAAUUCCACGAGUCAUCGAAUCUUUGAACGCACAUUGCGCCCUUUGGUAUUCCUUAGGGCAUGCCUGUUCGAGCGUCAUCCAACCCCUCAAGCACUGCUUGGUGUUGGGCGUUUGUCCCCCCUCUGGUGGGGGACUCGCCUAGAAUUCAUUGGCAGCCUCCGUAUCGGGCUAUCGAGCGCAGCAGAUCAGCGCCUCGGGCCCGGCACGCAGGCGUCCAGGAAGCCACUCCAACCUUUUGACCUCGGAUCAGGUAGGGAUACCCGCUGAACUUAAGCAUAUCAAUAAGCGGAGGAAAAGAAACCAACAGGGAUUGCCUCAGUAACGGCGAGUGAAGCGGCAACAGCUCAAAUUUGAAAUCUGACCCCUUUGGGGCCCGAGUUGUAAUUUGUAGAGGGUGCUUUGGCGUUGGCUCCGGCCUAAGUUCCUUGGAACAGGACGUCACAGAGGGUGAGAAUCCCGUACGUGGCCGGCUUCCUUCGCCGUGUAAAGCCCCUUCGACGAGUCGAGUUGUUUGGGAAUGCAGCUCUAAAUGGGAGGUAAAUUUCUUCUAAAGCUAAAUAUUGGCCAGAGACCGAUAGCGCACAAGUAGAGUGAUCGAAAGAUGAAAAGCACUUUGGAAAGAGAGUCAAAAAGCACGUGAAAUUGUUGAAAGGGAAGCGCUUGCAGCCAGACUUGCCUGUAGUUGCUCAUCCGGGCUCUUGCCCGGUGCACUCUUCUACUGGCAGGCCAGCAUCAGUUUGGGCGGCUGGAUAAAGGCCUCGGGAAUGUAGCUCCCCCCGGGGAGUGUUAUAGCCCGGGGUGUCAUGCAGCCAGCCUGGACUGAGGUCCGC